rnacentral:ncRNA from 1 species
CACUGUGAGGUGAAAUCUGAAGGAAGUUGGCGGCAAACAUCUGACCUAACGUACAGAAACUUCAUAUAAGGUAUUUGACCAUGGAUAAGAUUGCAUCACAAAUCAAAGUCCUAUUGCUAUUCGGAAUGGUUGGUGUAAAUGAAGUGGGUAUAAGAUGGAAAGAA